GUGGUGGUCUGAAUGAUGCCAGCACUGAGCAGUGUGCUGCACCUGGUGUGACCCCACACAGAGUGAUACUGGUUCCUGCCGACAGAGACUGUAAAGAUAUUGGUCUUCUGUGCGAUGGUUCCAUACAUU